GACGAACGCUGGCGGCGUGCUUAACACAUGCAAGUCGAACGGAAAGGCCCUGCUUUUGUGGGGUGCUCGAGUGGCGAACGGGUGAGUAACACGUGAGUAUCCUGCCCUUGACUUUGGGAUAACUUCAGGAAACUGGGGCUAAUACCGGAUAGGAGCUCCUGCUGCAUGGUGGGGGUUGGUAUGUUUCGGCGGUUGGGGAUGGACUCGCGUCUUAUCAGCUUGUUGGUGGUGUAGUGGCUUACCAAGGCUUUGACGGGUAGCCGGCCUGAGAGGGUUACCGGCGACAUAGGGACUGAGAUACGGCCCAGAGGCGAACGGGAGGCAGCAGUGGGGAAGAGUGCACAAUGGGCGGAAGCAUGAUGCAGAAACGCCGCGUGCGGGAUGACGGCCUUCGGGUUGUAAACCGCUUGCGCCUGUGACGAAGAGUGAGUGACGGUAAUGGGUAAAGAAGCACCGGCUAACUACGUG
rnacentral:rRNA from 1 species